rnacentral:rRNA from 1 species
UACGUAGGGAGCAAGCGUUGUUCGGAUUUACUGGGCGUAAAGGGCGCGUAGGCGGCGUGUCAAGUCGAUUGUGAAAUCUCCGGGCUUAACUCGGAACGGCCAAUCGAUACUGACGUGCUAGAGUGCAGAAAGGGCAAUCGGAAUUCUCGGUGUAGCGGUGAAAUGCGUAGAUAUCAAGAGGAACACCUGAGGCGAAGGCGGGUUGCUAGGCUGACACUGACGCUGAGUGCGCGAAAGCCAGGGGAGCAAACGGG